GACGGAGGAUGCAAGUGUUAUCCGGAAUCACUGGGCGUAAAGCGUCUGUAGGUGGUUUAAUAAGUCAACUGUUAAAUCUUGAGGCUCAACCUCAAAAUCGCAGUCGAAACUAUUAGGCUAGAGUUCGGUAGGGAGACUGGAAUUCCUGGUGUGAGCGGUGAAAUGCGCAGAUAUCAGGAGGAACACCGGUGGCGAAGGCGGGUCUCUGGGCCGAUACUGACGCUGAGGAGCGAAAGCGUGGGAGCGAACAGG
rnacentral:rRNA from 1 species